UACGGAGGGUGCGAGCGUUGUCCGGAAUCAUUGGGCGUAAAGGGCGCGUAGGCGGCGGGACAAGCGUGCGGUGAAAGCCUGGGGCUCAACCCCGGGUCGGCCGUGCGAACUGUUUUGCUUGAGCACUGUAGAGGCAGGCGGAAUUCCGGGUGUAGCGGUGGAAUGCGUAGAGAUCCGGAAGAACACCGGUGGCGAAGGCGGCCUGCUGGGCAGUAGCUGACACUGAGGCGCGACAGCGUGGGGAGCAAACAGG
rnacentral:rRNA from 1 species